UACAGAGGGUGCAAGCGUUGUUCGGAAUUAUUGGGCGUAAAGCGCGUGUAGGCGGCUUUGCAAGUCGGGUGUGGAAGCCCUCGGCUCAACCGAGGAAGUGCGCCCGAAACUGCAGAGCUUGAGUACCGGAGAGGAUGGCGGAAUUCCCCAAGUAGAGGUGAAAUUCGUAGAUAUGGGGAGGAACACCGGUGGCGAAGGCGGCCAUCUGGACGGAUACUGAUGCUGAGACGCGAAAGCGUGGGUAGCAAACAGG
rnacentral:rRNA from 1 species